UGACUUAGUCUUGGUUCUUUCUGUGCUACCUUUAGAUCCAAUGCACUUCAGCUUCCAGCAUGAGGCUUAUCCAUUGCACUCCAGAUGUGCUGACCCCUGCGAUAUCCCCAAAUGUUGGAAACUCGACUACAUAAUUUGUGAUCAUGGGGAACUGCUUUUGUACUCUCCCCUA
ensembl:snRNA U1 U1 spliceosomal RNA